AGAAUCAACGCUGGCGGCGUGCUUAACACAUGCAAGUCGCACGAGAAAGGGGAGCAAUCCCUGAGUAAAGUGGCGCACGGGUGAGUAACACGUGAAUAAUCUACCUCCGAGUGGGGAAUAACUGAGAGAAAUCUUAGCUAAUACCGCAUAACACUUACGAGUCAAAGCAGCAAUGCGCUUGGAGAGGAGUUCGCGGCCGAUUAGUUAGUUGGCGGGGUAAUGGCCCACCAAGACGAUGAUCGGUA
rnacentral:rRNA from 1 species